GACGAACGCUGGCGGCGUGCUUAACACAUGCAAGUCGAACGGAAAGGCCCUGCUUUUGUGGGGUGCUCGAGUGGCGAACGGGUGAGUAACACGUGAGUAACCUGCCCUUGACUUUGGGAUAACUUCAGGAAACUGGGGCUAAUACCGGAUAGGAGCUCCUGCUGCAUGGUGGGGGUUGGAAAGUUUCGGCGUUUGGGGAUGGACUCGCGGCUUAUCAGCUUGUUGGUGGGGUAGUGGCUUACCAAGGCUUUGACGGGUAGCCGGCCUGAGAGGGUGACCGGCCACAUUGGGACUGAGAGACGGCCCAGACGCCUACGGGAGGCAGCAGGGGGGAAUAUGGCAGAAUGGGCGGAAGCCUGAUGCAGCAACGCCGCGUGCGGGAUGACGGCCUUCGGGUUGUAAACCGCUUUCGCCUGUGACGAAGCGUGAGUGACGGUAAUGGGUAAAGAAGCACCGGCUAACUACGUG
rnacentral:rRNA from 1 species